AAAUUGAAGAGUUUGAUCAUGGCUCAGAUUGAACGCUGGCGGCAGGCCUAACACAUGCAAGUCGAACGGUAACAGGAAGCAGCUUGCUGCUUCGCUGACGAGUGGCGGACGGGUGAGUAAUGUCUGGGAAACUGCCUGAUGGAGGGGGAUAACUACUGGAAACGGUGGCUAAUACCGCAUAACGUCGCAAGACCAAAGAGGGGGACCUUCGGGCCUCUUGCCAUCAGAUGUGCCCAGAUGGGAUUAGCUAGUUGGUGAGGUAACGGCUCACCAAGGCGACGAUCCCUAGCUGGUCUGAGAGGAUGACCAGCCACACUGGAACUGAGACACGGUCCAGACUUCUACGGGAGGCAGCAGUGGGGAAUAUUGCACAAUGGGCGCAAGCCUGAUGCAGCCAUGCCGCGUGUAUGAAGAAGGCCUUCGGGUUGUAAAGUACUUUCAGCGGGGAGGAAGGUGUUGUGGUUAAUAACC
rnacentral:rRNA from 1 species